UACGUAGGGCGCAAGCGUUGUCCGGAAUUAUUGGGCGUAAAGAGCUCGUAGGCGGCCUGUCGCGUCUGCUGUGAAAUCCCGGGGCUUAACCCCGGGCGUGCAGUGGAUACGGGCUGGCUGGAGGCAGGUAGGGGAGAAUGGAAUUCCCGGUGUAGCGGUGAAAUGCGCAGAUAUCGGGAGGAACACCGGUGGCGAAGGCGGUUCUCUGGGCCGGAACUGACGCUGAGGAGCGAAAGCGUGGGGAGCGAACAGG
rnacentral:rRNA from 1 species